UACGUAGGGGCCAAGCGUUGUCCGGAUUUAUUGGGCGUAAAGAGCUUGUAGGCGGUUUGUCGCGUCUGCUGUGAAAAUCCGGGGCUCAACCCCGGACGUGCAGUGGGUACGGGCAGACUAGAGUGUGGUAGGGGAGACUGGAAUUCCUGGUGUAGCGGUGAAAUGCGCAGAUAUCAGGAGGAACACCGAUGGCGAAGGCAGGUCUCUGGGCCGCUACUGACGCUGAGAAGCGAAAGCGUGGGGAGCGAACAGG
rnacentral:rRNA from 1 species